rnacentral:lncRNA from 1 species
UCACGACCCCUCCCCCUGCACUCUGUUCUCGGGGCCGCUGGUCUAAAGCCCGAGCCUGACCCUCUGGCCCAUGGAGGGCGGGGGAGGCUUCCUGCAUCCUCAGGACCUGCGGACCUGCCCUCCUCUCUUCCCUCUGCCCUCUCGUCCCUACUGUCUCCUCCCCCAGGAAGCUCCUCUGGUUGGUAUCUUGGGACCCCAAGAACCGCGAAAGCUCAGCCGUGCGUCCUCCUGACAGCCUCCUGCCCCCACCGUAGAGUUGGCUCCUAAUUGGUGACCUGACACCCGUGCCCAUCUCCUCCUGUGGGGACACCACGAUGUGUUUGCAUCUCAUGGCGCCUCGUCUCAUCUCCUUGUCUGUCCUGAUUCCUGCCACCCUGGGCUGAGCCGAGCUCGUCUCGGGCUGCUCUCCCUGGUGCUUUUGUCAAGGGCCAGGGGCUCCCAGGCCACCCCUCUGUCCUGCCAUCCAGGGGGACCUCCUGCAGCAGCCUCAGUUGGCCACGUGGAGAGCAGAGCGCGCCCCAGAGCCGCGAGGAAGUCACUGUGCCGAGAUGCUGCGCUUCAGUAAAUCUGGAUAAAAACAUGCUCUUACGUCUGUAACUCUCCCUAAAUCCUAGAGAAGGUGGACCCAUACCAACCCUGCCACCCUCCCCACUGUGUGAAAAACAAAUGGUUUUUGAAUCAAUAGCGACAUAAAGUAUCACAUAUCUCAGGAUUAUGUGCUCUUUAUAAAUAGAAAUUCUUUAAAUAAUGCUUAAAUGAAGGGAAUGCCGGGGCCAGGGGGGCCAGGGUAAGACCUGGAUCAGCUCUGCAAACCCCAUCGCACCUACGUCCUCUCCCCCGAACACAGGGAGCCGGUUUCCCCUCUGGCUGGUCCAGCUCCUGAGUGCGUGCGUGGCAUUGGGGUGCAGUAGGCGCCCCUCCAGGGGCGGCUCACAUAGUCUUGGAGGGAGUCGAAGCCUGGGCUUCUCUGAACUCCAGGCGGGACCCUGGAGCCCACGGCUGGCUCUGUGGCCUCCAGCGAGUUGCAGUUCUGAAAAUGAGUUUCCCUCUGAAAACGGAGCUCAUGCCAUCCCUUCGCCCUCUUCUCAGGAUCGUGUUGAGGAUGCGAGGAGGGCGCCCCUGGAAGGCCUUCUGCCCCUGGGAAGCCGCGGGCUGGAGGGCAGGAUGGACUUACACCAGGGCUCUCCUCUCUGGGCCUGCACCCUCCUGCCCCGCGGGAUGGCUGUGAGCCCCGGGACCGGGGGACCAGGAGCCCGGGAGCCCCUCCCAGGCCUCGGGGUCAGAGCCUCUCCUCUGUCUACGAGGAGGGAGCUCCGAGGGCCCUGACGCUCACAGUUAGAGUUUGCAGCUGGAGAGUUUGCACGGAACGAAUGACAUAUUUAGGUUCAGCUUUACAAUCAGCUGGUGACAGACAAGAAGCCGUAAACCUUUGGUGGGGGGCUUUUGCUUCUGCAAUCCCGGUUCCUGCCAGAAUCCCCUGCAUAUGCUGUGGCAUCAUUGAGCAACUGCUAGCACGAUUCAGACCCUGGAGUUGCUGCGCCUCGGAAACAGGAGUGAGAAGGACGCGGGAAGGACGCACAGACACCAGGGCAGCCCCCCGCCCCGCGGCCACUCCUGAGGCCGAGGCCGCUCCGCGGGUCUCUGCUCCUUCGCGCCCUCGGGUCUGUUUUGAAAGGUGGCGCUGUGGUCUGAACGUCUGUGUUCCUCAAAUUCUUGGGGUGAGCUCCCAACCCUGGGGUGGGAGCCGGAAGGGGUCUUGAAUACACUGUGAGGGAGGGGCCUCUUCAGUGGGACCCGCGCCCUUGCAAAGAAGUCCCUGGCCCUUCCACCACGUGGGGACACAGGAAGCGUCUGCCAACCCAGAGGGGCCCUCACUCAGCGGUGCUGGGACCCUGGGCUCGGUUUCUGGGCUCCAGGACAGUGAGGAAGGCAUUUCCUUUGGUUGUAAGCCACCCAGUCUGCGGUAUUUUCUUAUCGCGCCUCAAACAGACUAAGACAAGUGGCUUGUAUUUUCGCAAUUGAUGAGGAAAUUUUAGGAGCACAUACUACGUGCUAAGCGCCUUCUGGACAAUGUGAGGAGGAAAUCCCAGAACAGGAGCCGACUUCUGAGUGGCCAGGGAACUCAGUCCACUUUUGGCUGCUGUCACUCAAGUUCACCCUUGCGCACACCCUCUCCAUGGUCACCUGAGAUACAAAGAUGAGCACGGCCCUGCCUUCCAGAAAUUUAGCAUCUUUUAUAAUAAAAACAGCUGCAGCAGGAGUUCCCGUCGUGGCGCAGUGGUUAACGAAUCCGACUAGGAACCAUGAGGUUGCGGGUUCGGUCCCUGCCCUUGCUCAGUGGGUUAACGAUCCGGCGUUGCCGUGAGCUGUGGUGUAGGUUGCAGAUUCGGCUCGGAUCCCGCGUUGCUGUGGCUCUGGCGUAGGCCGGUGGCUACAGCUCCAAUUCAACCCCUAGCCUGGGAACCUCCAUAUGCCGCGGGAGCGGCCCAAGAACCAAGAGAUAGCAACAAUAACAACAACAAAAAGACAAAAG